GAUGAACGCUAGCUACAGGCUUAACACAUGCAAGUCGAGGGAGUGGAGGACGGGUGAGUAAUGUAUGGGAAACUGCCCGAUGGAGGGGGAUAACUACUGGAAACGGUCGCUAAUACCGCAUACCAUCGGAUGUGCCCAGAGGGGAUUAGCUAGUAGGUGGGGUAAAGGCUCACCUAGGCGACGAUCCCUAGCUGGUCUGAGAGGAUGACCAGCCACACGGGAACUGAGACACGGUCCAGACUCCUAGGGGAGUCAGCAUUGGGGAAUAUUGCACAAUGGGCGAAAGCCUGAUGCAGCCAUGCCGAGUGGAUGAAGAAGGCCUUCGGGUGGUAAAGUACUUUCAGCGGGGAGGCGUUACCCGCAGAAGAAGCACCGGCUAACUCCGUGCCAGCAGCCGCGGUAAUUC
rnacentral:rRNA from 1 species